UACUGGGCGUAAAGCGCACGCAGGCGGUUUGUUAAGUCAGAUGUGAAAUCCCCGGGCUCAACCUGGGAACUGCAUCUGAUACUGGCAAGCUUGAGUCUCGUAGAGGGGGGUAGAAUUCCAGGUGUAGCGGUGAAAUGCGUAGAGAUCUGGAGGAAUACCGGUGGCGAAGGCGGCCCCCUGGACGAAGACUGACGCUCAGGUGCGAAAGCGUGGGGAGCAAACAGGAUUAGAUACCCUGGUAGUCCACGCCGUAAACGAUGUCGACUUGGAGGUUGUGCCCUUGAGGUGUGGCUUCCGGAGCUAACGCGUUAAGUCGACCGCCUGGGGAGUACGGCCGCAAGGUUAAAACUCAAAUGAAUUGACGGGGGCCCGCACAAGCGGUGGAGCAUGUGGUUUAAUUCGAUGCAACGCGAAGAACCUUACCUGGUCUUGACAUCCACGGAAGUUUUCAGAGAUGAGAAUGUGCCUUCGGGAACCGUGAGACAGGUGCUGCAUGGCUGUCGUCAGCUCGUGUUGUGAAAUGUUGGGUUAAGUCCCGCAACGAGCGCAACCCUUAUCCUUUGUUGCCAGCGGUCCGGCCGGGAACUCAAAGGAGACUGCCAGUGAUAAACUGGAGGAAGGUGGGGA
rnacentral:rRNA from 1 species